UGGCUCAGAUGGUAAAGCGUCUGCCUGCAAUGCAGGAGACCCAGGUUCGAUUCCUGG
rnacentral:tRNA from 1 species